rnacentral:lncRNA from 1 species
UUGCUCUAUCUUGGUUAUUACUUAUAUAAAUAUUUAAAGGCUUCUUCUACACAGUAGGUGUAUAAUUUUAUUUUAUAACAUGGAAGUAUAUAUUUGGUUGAUUCUACAGAACUUGGGUUUACUCAAAAAUGAUCUAAGAUGAAUUUUAUGUGAAUUUCUAAAGUUCAGCUUACAUAAAACUAGUCAUUUUAAAGAUAAUAGUUUCAGAGGCAUUUGAUCUAAAGUAUGUAUACUAUUUCAUUUUACUUUAUAGGAAAACAUAAGUUGAUGGAUCUAUAGAAACUGAGUUUGCUCUAAAAUGAGUUGAGAUGAAUUUUAUAUGCAUUUUAUAAAUUUGUGUAUGCUUUAUGUAUGAUUUAUCUUAGACCAAUUUUAGAGACAAAGUUUGAACAGUGAAUGUCUAGUUUUAUGCAAUAACUCUAAAGUUCAUGAUUUGGUGAGUUCACAGAAAUUUGAUUUCUCUAAAAUGAGUUGUUUUCAAUAUGUUAUGGAUUUUAUAAGUUUACAUGUUUUCCUGUUGAAAAUAUAAAGCUUUUAGUAUUAUCUUUUUACAUUUUCAGAUUUUUAAACUCAUGGGGUCCACCUGUCGGUAUCAUGCCAAUAUGCAAAAAGGCCCCUAGGGUUUCAGGAAAUCAACCCGCAGUCCUAGGUCCAUAUAUCAUUGAUUGGGAACAUUACGUAAUGAACCUUAUAGUUGUUUAAAUUCUCAAAAUGAAGUCCCUGACUCCUUUUUCACACGCACAGAGGCAGAGCAGCCAUGGCUGAGCUCGAUCCCGGGUUCACCGGCGGUGAUUGGUGGCUCGGUUGGAGUUGCGGUUAAAAUAUAAAAUGAAGAUCAUGUUCUUGCGAUUCCAUUCCUCUAGUUUUCUUGGUUAGGGGACUUCGGAGUAGCGCCAGCGGCGAGUCCGAGUAGAGGAUGUUUUCGGGUGGUGGUGCAUGUGCUUCUACAAUCAUGUAUUGGUUAAUUGGGUGCAUGCAUGUAUGUUCUAUAGGCUGCUGGGUGCUCACCGAGAUGCUAGACAAGGCUGGGGAUGUCUGCAGAGUCACAGCGACGGCGAAGCUCCAUGGCGGCAUGGCACAACUCCAGGGAUGACGUCGGCUGCUCGAUCUGUAAACCAAUACGGUGCAUGCAAGAGGUCAAAGGCUAUCUAGAGAGGCCAUGCAUGCAUGGAAUUUGACUGACGCUCACCAGAGAGAAUGGAAUCAAUGAUGGAAGCGGUUGAACGGAGUUGGAAAAGACGAUGUCGACCUCCAAGAUCGCUGCGCCAUUGGAUGGGUUUCUUGAGGGUAAAUGGAGAGGAGGUUGAGGUGAAGCUGGUGGCGUGGUGGCUCGCUCCGGCUUGAUCUAGAUUGGUGGCAACGGCGACGAUGUCGCUGCGGCGGUGUGCAGAGCGCGCUCCAGAGCUCCGGUGUGCACGGCAACGUUCCCGUCGAUUGGCUGCCCCAGAGAGGAUGAAAUCAAAAGGAGAAAUAUUCGGCAUGGUGAGGAGAGUAUGGAACGCAAGAGUAGAGGAAACGACUGCGGCUCAUCAACGAUUCCGGCCAUCGUCUUCUUCGCGGCCGGCGAUGGAGAAACAGUGAAGGGCAGCGAGGAUGCUCUCCCUCGGAUGGAUUGGCACUGGAAUGGUGGGUGAAGAGUGGCGACGCGUCUG